AACGAACGCUGGCGGCGUGUCUUAAGCAUGCAAGUCGAGCGGCAAGGAAGUGCUUGCACUUCCCUAGAGCGGCGGACUGGUGAGUAACGCGUGGGUGAUCUACCUCGGGGUUGGGGAUAGCCAUUAGAAAUAGUGGGUAAUACCGAAUACGCUUCCAGGGCUACGGCCGUGGAAGGAAAGGCGCUACGGCGCCGACCUGAGAUGAGCCCGCGUCCCAUUAGCUAGUUGGUGAGGUAACGGCCCACCAAGGCGAUGAUGGGUAGGCGGCCUGAGAGGGUGUACGCCCACAUUGGGACUGAGAUACGGCCCAAACUCCUACGGGAGGCAGCAGCUAAGAAUAUUCCGCAAUGGACGAAAGUCUGACGGAGCGACGCCGCGUGGAUGAUGAAGGCCGGAAGGUUGUAAAAUCCUUUUGUCGGGGAAGAAUAAGCGUGGGAGGGAAUGCCCGCGUGAUGACAUGAACCGGCGAAUAAGCCCCGGCUAACUACGUG
rnacentral:rRNA from 1 species